AGGAACUAAUUUGGACCGUUAGAUAUAAGAGAAGAGGUGCGCGAUCUAACGACCCAAAUUAAUUCAGACAAAUUGACUGAGUUUCUCUCUCCUCUCCUCCGCGAUUUUCUCUCUCCUCACUAACUCCAUUUUCGUUCUCCUCUACCAUAAGCUCAAAUCUUAUCAAUUCAACGCGUUUUUGAAAUUCAUGUUGCUUAAACUCAUCAUUGUCUUGAAAUCUACAAUUUGAACCCAGAUUUGUGUAAUUUUUCGAUACAAAUUAGGUAAAACCCAGAUUUGUGCCAUUUUCGUUCUCCUCUACCAUUUUCGUUCUCCUCUACUCCAUUGAUGCGGAUUUUGAGCUUUCCCUAUUCCGUUGAAGCAUCUUCUGAGAACAUUGCUGAAUGGGAGGUGCUUCCCUGCUAUUGGUGCGAUGAAGAUAAAUUUUGAUGCUCACAUUGGUGCAAACGGAUUUAUGGGGCUGGGUGUGUCCAUUAGGGAUGAAAAAGGGUGCAUAAUAGCUACUGCAGUAGUGUAGAGGGUGGGUGCGAGGUGGGAUGUAGAGCUCGUUAAGGUUGCAGCACCGAGAAUGGGGGUUCUGAUUGCACACCAAAUGGGGUUGAUGAAGAUUAAAUUGGAGGGCAACACGCAUAAUGUAGUGCAUAAAUUGAACAUGAAGCUGCAGGAUACUCUCCUUUAAUGCUACUGUACGAAGGCAUUAAGAGAUUGAAGCAGGCUUUCACUUCCUUCAAAUGUAGUCAUAUUCGUCGGGCGGGUAAUACGUUAGCACACCUUAUUGCUAGAUACAAUACUAGUGAGUCGAUGUUUGUAUGGCUUGACAAUUUUCCCCAAAACUUUUUAACUUUGGCGGAGCUUGAUUUAACUGAAUAAUAUUGCUCGGCUAACGUUCCUUCAAAAAAAAAAAAAGUUAACCUAUUAGCUCAAGUGGUAGAGCACUAUGCGGAUGCAUAAAGGUGUAUGUUUAAUUCCUACAUAGGUUAUCUCUAAAAGUAAAUAUAAGACACCUUGGCUCGUUAGAAAUAUUGUCUACGUAACAAUCAAAAGUAAAUAAAAAAAACCCAUAAUGUAAAUCAAACUAUCUUUAAAGUAAAUAGAGAAAUUAAAAAAUAAUUCUAAAAACAUCUCUAAAGUAAUUUAAAAUAGCUCGAAAAGAAAUCAAAAGUGAAUAAUUAUAUCUCAAAAGUAAAUCAUAAUAGCUUAAAAGUAAAUAAAAAGCAAUAAAAAGUAAAUUAAAAUAGCAUCAAAUAAAUAAAUAAUAUCCUGUAAAAAAGAAGUAAAUAAAUAAUAUUUACUCAAAAGUAAAUAUAUCUACUCAAAAGCAAAUUAGUAAACUUAAAAAGACGGGUCAAAUUAGAGCAUGGGUCAACGACAUACAUUCAGUCUAGGGUGAACAUAUCUUUAAUUAGGGCAAACAUAUCCUUAAUCCUUAUAUAAGUGAGCUUGAGUUUCUAGUAAUAAAAGUAGAUACAAAAUAAGUUAAAGUAAAUAGAAAUGAAAUUCACCUUCUCUACUUCUAAAAUUAGGAAAUUGCUAUGAAGAAAUGCUUAUUGACAGUCUCCAACUGCUAUGAAUGCUUAAAUACAUAGUAUAUGAUUAUGAACCUAUGUGGGAUUUGAACCCACAUCUUUUGUGCAAUUGCACAAUGCUCUACCCCGAGCUAGUAGGCUAGUGUUAUCAAUCUAUUUAAGUAGUACUAAUUGUAUAGAGAAAAUAAGUCAUGCAAAUGAAGAAUUGAGCUUGUAGGCUAGUCUAUGUAAAACAUUCACAAUAAAUAAAAAAAUUACUUAAAAGUAAACCAAAUAAUCUUAAAAGUAAAUAAAAUAAUCUAUAAAGUAACUGCAAUAAAGCCUUUGGUUAUGGUAACAUAGUUUUGUUCUUUUAUUUCGUAUCUGGGUAGGGGUUGGAGUUGGAAAUGGGGCAUGUCACUGUUUGGUGAUAAAGUGUUGAACUCAAAAUACCUCAGCUCAGAGGUAAAUAAAAAAAAGGCUAAAAAGUAAAUUAAAACAUCAUUAUAGUAAUAAAUAAUAAUACUUCUGCUCAUGCUUCUGCUGCUCCUCCUGCACAGGCUGCACUCUUGCUCACAGCAGCUUCCUGUUUCGCUCAACUUUAAGAACUCCCCAGCAGCAUUUAUAGCAGCAGCAGGCGGUAGAGCGGAAAUAGUAUAGCAACAGCAAGCUAUGGCAAGGAAGCAGCUGCAGCAACAGCCUAGGCAAGGCCAGCAACUGUAGCAGCAGCCUAGGCCGGGCCAGCAAUAGCAGCAGCCUUGGCAGGGCUUGCAGGGCAGCAGCUGCAGCCUUGGCAGGGCCUGCGUGGCAAGGCAGCAGCACUCAACCUGAUCAUUUACAAGAAAGUGAAUAUGGAUGCAUAUGUUAGAGUGGGGCGGGCUAAUAGGCUUGGGACAGUGAUCGUGGAUGAGUUGGAUAAGGUUGUAGCUGCUGGAAAAGUAUGCUCAUACUACACUUCUCUUGCAAUUGCUGAAACUCUCGCAUUAAGAUACGACCUCCAGCUAGCAAGAAGAUUGGGGUAUUUAAAAGUAAAUAAAAAAGAAUCUAAAGUGAAUAAAAAAGAAUUUAAAGUAAACUGAAUGAAAUACACACAAAUAAUUAAAAGAAAUAAUUUCAUCUCAUAAAUAAACCUACGUGGGAUUCGAACCCACAUCUUUUGUGCACUUGCACAAAUGCUCUACCUAUUGAGCUAGUAGGCUAAUGUAUAUUGUCAAAGUAAAGAAAAAUACUCAAAAAAAAAAUAAAAAAAAAAUAACACGAUCUCAAAAGUAAAUCUAAUAUGAGAGGUAUGAUCCUAAAACUGGAUACUUGCAUAGUCCAAAUCCCAAAAGACUACAGAGUAUUAGAUAUAGAAGGAUCUGGCAUACUUGCUUUGGGGUAUGAAAUAUUUCAACAAAUGGAUAUAUUCCUUCCUUUGUUGUGCUAUACAAAAAGCCUGGAUACUUAGGACACUCAACCUGACAAUACACAAAGUAUCAAAAUUAUUAGAGAUAAAACUGACUAAAAUAUCAUUACAUAAUGCAACAAUACUGUAGUGGAAUGCACAAAAUGCAUUCAGAUCCUUAUAAUCCCUUUUUAUAUAUUCUAUACAUCCAAUAUGCCUCAUAUACUAGAGCGAUGUAGAGAAGAUACAUGACAUGCAGAAUAAACCACAUCAACCACCAUCGGCUACUGGCAAGCAUAACCCCACCAGCCUAGCUCUUUCAUCCACCCAAACAACAGCAACCAACACACGGCACCACACCCUUUGCCCUGUGCUCCUUCACCACAUAUAGCCACACCAUUCACACAACACCCAAGGCUACAAAGAAAACCCACACAACAACUAAUCACACCACAAAUAGCAAUUGUGCAGCUGGCCACAAACAGCACAAUACAUCUCUACCGUUAUCCAAACACUUUAACAUUAUCCAUCCCUAUUGUCUUAAGAUAACAUUCAAAGGCUUUGCUAUUAAAAGAUGUCAAUUUAUGCAACAUAAAAAAAAAGGGAGAAAUCUUUUUAACAAACUGCCCUUUUGCUUGAUAGUCCAAGAGAUAAAAGUACUGCAAACCCAACAAUAACAACAAUCCCAAUUGCCAUUAUUACCAGACGAUUUCUCAGUCCAGGCCAGCCUAACACCUCCUCCUAACAGAGGUUCACCAGUUCAUCAUCAUAUUAUAGUCUUACUUCUUUCAAGCAUUUCAUCGAACAUGUAAAACUCAAUCUAAAGCUCAAGCUAAAUCCCAACAACAACAACAACAACAAAACAAAAUCAUGACCAAAGACUCAAAAUAAUGCAAAGAACAAUAAAUCGUAAUAUAAGACUUAAAACAACACAAAAUCAUACAAUUAGACUCAAAAU